UUGACCUCGGAUCAGGUAGGGAUACCCGCUGAACUUAAGCAUAUCAAUAAGCGGAGGAAAAGAAACCAACCGGGAUUGCCUCAGUAACGGCGAGUGAAGCGGCAAGAGCUCAAAUUUGAAAUCUGGCCCCUCCGGGGUCCGAGUUGUAAUUUGCAGAGGAUGCUUCGGGUGUGGCCCCUGUCUAAG
rnacentral:rRNA from 1 species